ACGGAGUCUAAGAAUUCUUGGCUUCCUCCGGACCUGUGAAACUGAUGCGUGCCGCCACCCCCGUUAGACUGCGGCGCAGCGACUGUGUUCCGCGGCUGGGAUGAGCUAAGGGAAUCCUCUUCUGGUCCCUGUGGGCGGGCACCUACCUGCACAUGGCGCAUGGACACGAAUCCAGGCAUUUGAAGCUAUGAAGUCUUCUCCCAGAACCGCUUUCAUUGCAUCAUAGGUGUAAGUAUAUUUGUUUGCAUUUUCCAUUCAAUCCCCGGAAUUUUCAAACUUAUCUGUCUUCUGAUGUCCUUGGUGACCCUUUUGUUAAUCAAUAGAAUGUUGUUUGAUUUCCAUGACUUCAUGCCGUUUAUCUGACUGUGGCUUCUACUCCCUUUGGGAUCAGAUGGAAUACAGGAAAUCCCGUCCAUUUCCUUGUUUGUUAAGGCUUGCUUUGUA